rnacentral:rRNA from 1 species
UGGGCGUAAGGGCUCGCACGCGGUUUCUUAAGUCUGAUGUGAAAGCCCACAGCUCAACUGUGGAGGGUCAUUGGAAACUGGGGAACUUGAGUGCAGAAGAGAAGAGUGGAAUUCCACGUGUAGCGGUGAAAUGCGUAGAUAUGUGGAGGAACACCAGUGGCGAAGGCGACUCUCUGGUCUGUAACUGACGCUGAGGAGCGAAAGCGUGGGGAGCAAACAGGAUUAGAUACCCUGGUAGUCCACGCCGUAAACGAUGAGUGCUAGGUGUUAGAGGGUUUCCGCCCCUUACUGCUGAAGCUAACGCAUUAAGCACUCCGCCUGGGGAGUACGGACGCAAGACUGAAACUCAAAAGAAUUGACGGGGGCCCGCACAAGCGGUGGAGCAUGUGGUU